AUAAAAGGUAACCUUUUCGGCAUCUCUCUAUAAAAAGUCCAACCCAAAUCAAUCUCAUUGUUACGGCGUUCCUCUUCCUCAAGAACAGAUCAUCACAGGGAGUGCACAUGAUAGAUGUUUCCUAUCUCCUUCGACAACAGCUCCGGGACAAAACAGGAUAUUUAGUUAAGGCAUUUGCAAGAUGCUAUUGUAUCUUUUACCGAAAUCACAUAGUAAGAACAUCAAAAACCUUUUAAAUCUAAUGAAUUAGAUUCUUCCAAUUCUCCAUCAGCAGUCAGCACCACUUUUAUCACACAACCUCCAUAAAAGGAGGAAAGGAAAAGAUCAUGAUUUACAAAUGAAAUCAUUCAUAGUGUGGAGUCCGGCUUUCUCAAUAAGAGCUUCCGUGUUGUACUGUUCAAAUCAAUUCCUAAUGUUCUUUUUCCCUUCCAUUAGGCUCUUUGUAUGGAUGUCAAAUAUGUAGUCAGGUCUGAGAUCUUCGGUAUCAUGUUACUUUUACCUUUUUCCUGUGUUUUAAGUCUACUAUCAGCCAUGAAUGGUAAAUCUUGGUAAAUCUUUCCCCAAUAAUGCUUGAAAAUGAGUGAAAUAUAUACUAAAAAAUGAAAAGUACUAAAAAGUUUAAAACGUGGUACUGUCUAUGUUCACAUUUAAAAGGAGCAACCUUUAAAUGUUGUAGAACUUAUGGCAUCAAGAUACUACUUCACC